UGCUUUAAAGUCAAAAUGUGGAGACGUAAGUCUUGUAAACUUAAGAUUGAAGUUAAUCUUCUGAGGCAA
rnacentral:tRNA from 1 species